AUUGAACGCUGGCGGCAUGCUUUACACAUGCAAGUCGAACGGUAACAGCACUUCGGUGGCUGACGAGUGGCGCACGGGUGAGUAAUACAUCGGAACGUGCCUAGUAGUGGGGGAUAACUACUCGAAAGAGUAGCUAAUACCGCAUGAGAUCUAAGGAUGAAAGCAGGGGACCUUCGGGCCUUGCGCUACUAGAGCGGCUGAUGGCAGAUUAGGUAGUUGGUGGGAUAAAAGCUUACCAAGCCGACGAUCUGUAGCUGGUCUGAGAGGACGACCAGCCACACUGGGACUGAGACACGGCCCAGACUCCUACGGGAGGCAGCAGUGGGGAAUUUUGGACAAUGGGCGCAAGCCUGAUCCAGCAAUGCCGCGUGCAGGAUGAAGGCCUUCGGGUUGCAAACUGCUUUUGUACGGAACGAAAAGCCCUCUUCUAAUACAGGAGGGUCAUGACGGUACCGUAAGAAUAAGCACCGGCUAACUACGUG
rnacentral:rRNA from 1 species